rnacentral:lncRNA from 1 species
AUGAAUAGCAACCCCAAGCACAAACUCCCUGAGUUCUCCAGGGACCACAUCAGGCUGAACCCCAACCAUUUCCCCCAGCUUUUCAGGGCUGGCUCCUCGAGGAACGAGCUUGACCACAGACAAACGCUGAUGAGACAGAAGGCAGCUGCGGGAUUUCACCUUUCCCUCCCAGCUGCCUCCCAAGCCACCUCCAGCUUCUCAUUAGACAUUGUUAGAUUACAGUUGUUGGAUUACGGUCUGACCUCAGAUUGCAGCCACGUCCCAGUGGAGCAUUCCCAGAACUGCCGUGGUGCCUGGCGUUGGGUCCUUCACAAUAACAUUUAA